rnacentral:rRNA from 1 species
CCUACGUGGAGCAGCAGUGGGGAAUAUUGGGCAAUGGGCGCAAGCCUGACCCAGCAACGCCGCGUGAAGGAAGAAGGCUAUCGGGUUGUAAACUUCUUGUCUCAGGGACGAAGAAAGUGACGGGACCGGAGGAAUAAGCCACGUCUAACUACGUGCCAGCAUCCGAGGUAAUACGUAGGUGGCAAGCGUUAACCGUAUUUAUUGGGUGUAAAGGGCGGGUAGGCGGGAGCGGAAGUCAGAUGUGAAAACACAGGGCUCAACCCUGAGCCUGCAUUUGAAACUUUGUUUCUUGAGUGCUGGGGAGGCAAUCGGCAUUCCGUGUGUAGCGGUGA